UAGUCCACGCCGUAAACGAUGAGUGCUAGCCGUUGGGACUUUAGUCUCAGUGGCAACGCUAACGCAUUAAGCACUCCGCCUGGGGAGUACGGUCGCAAGAUUAAAACUCAAAGGAAUUGACGGGGACCCGCACAAGCGGUGGAGCAUGUGGUUUAAUUCGAGGCAACGCGAAGAACCUUACCAGGCCUUGACAUGCCUCUCGCGGAUUUCAGAGAUGAAAUCCUUCAGUUCGGCUGGAGAGUGCACAGGUGCUGCAUGGCUGUCGUCAGCUCGUGUCGUGAGAUGUUGGGUUAAGUCCCGCAACGAGCGCAACCCUCAUCCUUAGUUGCUACCAUUUAGUUGGGCACUCUAAGGAAACUGCCGGGGUCAACCCGGAGGAAGGUGGGGAUGACGUCAAGUCUUCAUGGCCCUUAUGGCCUGGGCUACACACGUGCUACAAUGGCAAAUACAAUGAGCAGCGACCCCGCGAGGGAUAGCUAAUCUCCAAAAUUUGUCUCAGUUC
rnacentral:rRNA from 1 species